GACGAACCGGACAAACGUUAUUCGGAAUCACUGGGCUUAAAGGGUGCGUAGGCGGUGUGGCAAGUUGGAUGUGAAAUCCCCCGGCUCAACCGGGGAAUUGCGUCCAAAACUGCCAUGCUUGAGGGAGACAGGGGUGAGCGGAACUCACGGUGGAGCGGUGAAAUGCGUUGAUAUCGUGAGGAACACCGGUGGCGAAAGCGGCUCACUGGGUCUCUUCUGACGCUGAGGCACGAAAGCUAGGGGAGCGAACGGG
rnacentral:misc_RNA from 1 species